AUUGAACGCUGGCGGCAUGCCUUACACAUGCAAGUCGAACGGUAACAGGUCUUCGGAUGCUGACGAGUGGCGAACGGGUGAGUAAUACAUCGGAACGUGCCUAGUAGUGGGGGAUAACUACUCGAAAGAGUGGCUAAUACCGCAUGAGAUCUACGGAUGAAAGCAGGGGAUCGCAAGACCUUGUGCUACUAGAGCGGCCGGUGGCGGAUUAGGUAGUUGGUGGGAUAAAAGCUUAACAAGCCGACGAUCUGUAGCUGGUCUGAGAGGCCGAUCCGCCACACUGGGACUGGGACACGGCCCAGACUCCUACGGGAGGCAGAAGUGGGGAAUUUUGGACGAUGGGCGCAAGCCUGAUCCAGCAAUGCCGCGUGCAGGAUGAAGGCCUUCGGGUUGUAAACUGCUUUUGUACGGAACGAAAAGCACUGGGUUAAUACCCUGGGGUCAUGACGGUACCGUAAGAAUAAGCACCGGCUAACUACGUGCCAGCCGCCGCCGUAAUAC
rnacentral:rRNA from 1 species